GUAAACAACUAUGGCGUUACCGUUGCUGUUACAGUGAGACAGAAAGUACUUUGCAGAGCAGUUUUUGUUCUUACAGGCUGCAGUGUGCUGCGACUACGUAAUGACAGUGUGUUGAGCAGCUGUGAAGUCAUGUCAGAACAACAGGCCGGGUUAAGGCUUCACCCUGGGAUUAUUGCAUCAGUGAUCUUCGUCUCUGUGGCGGCAGUAGCUGCUGCCGUAUUGAUCAUCCGAAAAUACUGCUUCCCAGUCAAUGAGGCGACCUAUAGAUACUCACUGCUGAGGAGGAUGGAGGAUCAGCAUUCAGCGCCAGCAGAGGAGGAUGGUGACAGGGGGCCCUGCACAGUGGGAGAGGAGUCAGAUGAGGACCUUUUGGAAUAAAUCGCCAACUGGGCUGCGGCUGGACGCACUGAAAAGGAAUUUAUUGUCGAUGAAUUGUGUGCUUUAGGGCUGCAAAUAAUUAUUCUGGUUGACACAUCAGGAAGCAAUUUAAAAGUACAGGUCACUGAUCUGUAAGGCAGGGAAAUGCAAGAGCAUCUCACAUUUGAGAAGCUGGAGCCUUCAAAUGUUGGCAUUUUUACUUUAACAAUAAUCCACACAAACAGUCAAAAUAGUUGCUGAGGAUUAAUUAAUCGACCAAUUGCUGCUCCAGUGUGGUUUGUGUGUUUGGAUUUGCAUUUAUCAUCUGGCUUGGAUUCUUUUUAGAUGUGCGAUGUCUUUGUUUGAUGUGGAACUACUGAUUUCAUUUGCAUUCUCACUGACACUGAUGAGUUCAGCAGAUCCCCUUUUUAUGCAGAAGGCACGGCAUGCAAUUCUUUUAAAGUGUCAUCUAGCUAUCGAUAAAGCUGCAUCUUUUAUUGGUUUUCAUCUCCUAAGUGACAUGCAGGCUAUUUCCAGAGCCUCUGAUAGGUAAACGUUGUACUUGCAUACACAACUCAGGAUUGGGGGAAAAAAAAUGCUGUAUUUUUUUGAACAUCUCUGUUUUUAAAUCCGUAUUCUGUUAAAAUAUGCUAAAGCAGAACAUCAGUCAAAUCUUCAGGAUUAGAAUCGUGAAGUAUUGACGAAACUAAUGGUCAGUGUGAGUUCCACAGCAUGCCUGCUUCUUGAAAUUAGACUGCAACUAAUUUGAAAAGUAUGAUAUGAUAGAUUUCACAAAUUGCAAACCUCAGUUGACAAAUUAUAGGAAAACCCAACAUGAAGUGUCUUAGGAAGAGGCAGAGCUUCAUUGUGCCUUGGCAUUGAUUUUAAAAUUCUCUGGAACUCUACAGGAGGGUUUAAACAUCAUUCUUCCAAAAGCUAUCCCCUCGUUUGGUGUUAAUUUGGUGGCUGUAGAGAACGCUGUCAGUCCAAAUCCUCCCGUUGGGUUGAGUGGGGUUCAGACCUGGUCACUGCAAAAUCCACAGCAUAUUAUUCAAAUCAUUUUUAUACUCAUCAAACCGUUUCAUGACCCCUUGUGUGUCAUGGCUGGGUUCGUUGUCAUCCUGGGAAGACCGAGAGAGAAAUCAGAAUGGAAAUGUUACAUCAGAAUAAAGAUGAUCACUCAGGACAAAAUGAUGUUGAUUUGCAGUGACCUCUCCCUCAGUGUUAUACUUUCUGCACCAGACAGUACUAAAGGGUGCAACAGAUCAGUCCAUGUCUGCGAGUCCGCAUGGGGUUCAGGCUUUUUCUUUAAUUUGUCGCCCAUCUAUACAUUUUAAAAUGUUUUUCUUUGUUGCUGUAUUGAAAAGGAAUCCACUUCUGCAGUCAAACCCAUGUCCUUGAUGGAUCUCCUAUAAUUCUGGCGAUGUGAAAGGGAGUCUAAUACUGCUGAUUUUUCAAAGAUUCAAGACUCAGAUUCUUCAAAUUUUCAUGUUGUAUGAAAUGCUUUAUUACUUGACUUGAAUAAAAUUUAAAAAAUUAAUUUAUUCUGGCACAAUACAGUUCCCGAAACUGAAAAACAAAGGUUGCUAGUACUGUAUUAAGGUAAUAAUUUGCUUUGAAAUGGCUAAAUAUUCUUAAAAUGGAUAAAUCAGAAACAGAACUUUUCAUCGUUGGCGAGGAGGCCUUUAUAAGGAGUACACACCUUAACAUCCACUCAGUGUUAGUCUGAAUAAAUCUGCCACAGAACAUGAGUAAUAUUAUCUCACAGUUUUGAACUAAGCAGUUUGCAAAUCAUCGCAUGGGGAUAUGACAUUUCAGAUACACCCUAAUUGAUCUGACGCUAAAAAUAGUCGCAGUAAGACCCCAGCCAUCUACCAGUUGGCUAGUUCCCUUUGAAAUUAUUUCCUUUAGCAUGCUGUCAUUCCACUCAAAGUCAAUUUGCUGUAGAGUCCACUGGCUCUGUAAUGGACUUCUAGGCUGACUGAUGUUGCAUGAUGUUUUUUGACAGCUGUGUUUCCACAAAGGGAAAAAGAAUCAGCAACUCCACCUGCUUGGGAGUUGUGAGCGAACACGAUGUGAACACGAGUGUCACCGAGAUGCCAGUGGCACCUCAAACUGAUUAAUAAUUAAUCAGAAAUCACUCUUCUUUUUCAUUAUGGUCUGUGUGAUCAACAAACGAGGCACUGAAGCCAAUCUAUUGUCAUCUGUCUCUUCUUGUUAGGACUCUGGAGUAUUAUUGCAAAUUCCCCAAACGUUGAAUGAGAGUUGUUUUCUCUGCUGUUACUGAUGUUGGUGCUUGCAAUAUUAACGACGUCUGCCGUGUCUUUUUAUAUUUGAGUGUACGUAUGAAAAACAUUAGGUUGGUUAGGUGCUAAAUAUUCAUCCUGUGGACUGUCUGAAGUGUGCUUGGAUUGUCCUUGUUCAAUCCAGCUCAUGAACUUGAUGAUCUGCCUGCUCUGCCUCUUAUCUGAAGCGAGUGUCUGCCUUAUUAGAGGGGAGAUAUUAUAUUCAAGUAUUUAAGUGUUGCCCACUUCCGAAAUGGCAGACACAAGAGCUGUGAAGGGUUGUAUUGCAAACACUUGACUGUGUUUGUUCAUUGCUGUCUGUACAUUGUCUGUAAUGCACAAAAUUAAACUAAACGUGGGUAUUUGGUUCUCAAGGCGAUAUCUAGCCCUUUUCUCUGCAUGUUUAAUGUUCCCACUGAUCAGUGAACGGUAGUACACAAAGACCCUCUGCUGGUUCUCUUUGGUAUUACACCAUGCUACGAGUCAGGAUCUCAUGGGUUCGGAUGCUAUGCACAUUUGCUGUAUAUGAAACUGUUUGUAUUCUGUGAUUUUUAUUUGCCAUUUUCAUUUUUAACAUUGCUGAUAAGAAUGUGAUUUGGUUCGCUCAUGCAAAAUGAAAACAAGCAGCACACGUUGGCCUCCCACAAGAUCCCUAGCUCGCUGUGGGAGAACGUUAGUAACCUCAAUAAUCAAUGUAGUUUAAAUAAAAAUACCUUUAAGGCAUGACUGUUGCAUCCAGAAAGCCUUGUGUCAGUAUUUCAGUUGGCUUUGUGCUUAUAUGAUGAAUAUUCUUAAAUACAGUAGCAUUUAUUCAGCUUCAUAUGAGUGCAGAAAAUGGUGACAGUGUAAGAGCUUGUCAUAUGUAAAGUAGAUGUUCAAGUACUGUUCAAGGAUCAUCAGGGCAGAUACUUAAAGACACAAGAGCUUGGUCUCUGCCUUACAGGAUUAUUGUGUCUUUCACCAUCUGAAAGUGUCUAAUGUUUCCUUCCUGUGCAGUGUUAAAUGUCUUGGUAAAAACACCACAUCCAUUGCCUUAUUUAUGAUAUUCCAGUAAAUCUCAUUCUUGCACUUCCUCUGUC